CUUCCCUGGCCCUAGAUAAACAUUGUAACCAUAAAGGAAAUGUAUGGUUAUCUAAAAGGGGACAUAUAGAACAGAGUACAGAAAGUAUAUAUCAUUGUGGUUGGGCUCAUGACUGGAGCCUGACCUGGUCACGUGGCACAAGGAAAACAACGUGUGGCCAGGGCUACAACAUUCCAAUCUGUUACCAUGGAAACCAAAAGUGUAUACAAGGUGGGAACAAAGGCAGACCCACGCCCACAUUCCUGACCUGCAAGUUGGGGAUGAGAGGACCAGAGGCAAGACAGGCCUGGAAGCCAAAACUACAGAUGAAGUUGAGGAUCUGAAGGAAGACAACAGUCAGGCCUCAGAGCUAAGGGUUCAAAGAGCAAACUCAGGGCCAGGGAUAUAGCUCAGUGGCACAAGUGCCUGCCUGGCAAGCACAAAGUCUUGCGUUCAAUUCCCAAUACAAAAAAAAAAGAGCAAACCAGAUAACUACCAAGAAGAAACCAUGACAGGGUAUUAGGGCAUCAAAGAUAUCCAAAGCAAGAAAUCUUGUCUGAGCCAUAUGCUAAAAGAGUAGAAUAGAUCUACUCCAAGUCAGCAAAUAAUGAGUCAAAAGUGAAUGAACAAAUUAGGAAGCUGAGAGACAUCAAGAAGAAAAUUAAACCAAGCAUGGUGGCCCACAUCUGUAAUCCCAGCACUCCAGUGGCUAAGGCAGGAGGAUUGCCACAAGUUCAAGGUGAGCCUGGGCUACGUAGUGAGUUCAAAGCCAGCAUGAACUAAAACUACAUGGUGAGACCCUGUCUCAAAAAAACAAACAACCAAAAAAGAAAAUAAAGUAAAAUCUCAGUAACUUCUCCCCUAAAAUACCUCUACCAUGUGUCUCAGGCUGCGCCUAUCACAAGCCACAAUGGAGUCUGUGGAAAAUUUCUGAUGGAGAUGUCCAUUUCUUUUUCCUGAGAAAGGUUUCCUGAAACUAAAAGAACAAUGAAAGAAUAAAAGUUCCCAUAAAUCAGUUUCAAACCUAAGGAAUCAAGGACAAGAAGGUUGUGGGUGAGAUACAGAGAACUGGGGGUUGUUUUACACAUCUUUGUGGCUACCGAGGUCCGUAAGCUCCACAGGUACCCCCUUUCCUCACGCUGCACUCUGUACCUCAGGCACAGCUCUGUUUUCUCAGCACUGGCGUCUUGGAGAUAAGAGCCUAUUAUUUCAACCAACUUCACUAAGUACCUAUAGUAGGCCAAAUAUCACGCUAACACUCUAACAUAAAGGCAUAUUUUGAGGUUGAUUUUCUGAUUCUAUCCAAGUUCCUUGCUGUUAGACAACAUAAGGAACUUUUUACAGACUUCUGAGGAAUGUCUCCCAAGCCUUGGACCUUCCAGGUACAGUGGAAGAAGAAUGGGACUCUUAUGCCAACUCUGCUGUAAACCUGCUUUGGACCAAAGCUAAAUCACAAAAAUAUUAAAGCUCUCAGCCUUCUCUCCUGUCAUGUGGAUUUAUUCUUUCAUCCCCUGCCUCUUUCAUAUGA
rnacentral:lncRNA from 1 species